CACGUAGGGGGCAAGCGUUGUCCGGAUUUAUUGGGCGUAAAGAGCUCGUAGGCUGUUCGAUAAGUCGGGUGUGAAACCUCCAGGCUCAACCUGGAGACGCCACCCGAUACUGUCAUGACUAGAGUCCGGUAGGGGAGCGUGGAAUUCCUGGUGUAGCGGUGAAAUGCGUAGAUAUGUGGAGGAAUACCGGUGGCGAAGGCGGCCUCCUGGCUUAAUACUGACGCUGAGGUGCGAAAGCGUGGGGAUCAAACAGG
rnacentral:rRNA from 1 species